rnacentral:lncRNA from 1 species
UGAAGCCAUUUAUAGCUAAGACUAGUUAGAAUUGCUGGGUGUUGAACUAAUUACUAACUCAACUAGAAACAAAAUCGAAGGGAGAACGAUGCUAAUGCAUAUUAAUUCAUAAGAAUCAUUUGUUCUUCGUUGAUGCUUUUUUUUUUCUUUUGUCGAGAAGGAGAGAGUGGUUGUAGAAGAAAAAUAACGCUGCUCAGAACAGGAGGAAAACUUUCAUAAAACUUCGUGAAUAAAAAGGCGAACAAUACAAAUUAUCUUAUAUUGUUAGUUUGUGUAGUGAAGCCCCACCCAUAUCAACCCAACUAUCAUGAACUCAAGGAAUUAUUAGAGACAAACUUGAAACUGUUAUUUGAUUUGUAAUUUUUAUUUUAAGAAACACAUGCGUUUUUAUUUGAUUUCUUUUUCAAAACUUUUGGCAAUUUUAUGACAAUCUUGUAGGACCCUUAUUUUACUACCAUAGGACAACUGAUAUUUG